UCCAACCCCACCACGCAGUUACAACACCCACCUCCACCUAUUUAAUAGCAGGGGAGGUCGUUCUCCUUCUAGCCUUUUCUUUUGCGGAUUCCUUCCCCAAUUCCCCUUAGCUUCUAUUUAUUUAUUCGUUUCUUUAUUAUGAUUAGCAUUUUGUAUUUAUUUUCUUUAUGGCUUCAGGAAGGAGCUGCAGCACUCUAAGGGGCUGAUGCGGCUCAGCUGUGCUCCUGGUUCUCCCAUUCUGCUCCAGGAACCAAUCUCUCCUUCCUCGCUGUGCUUUAACUUCAGCUGAGCUCUCAUAAAGUUCUCUUUUGAGGCCCGUGUUUGAGCAUAGAAAAGGUCUGUGAAGCCUCAGAGAAGCAUUUCUUGAAGUGUGCAAUGGAGGAGGACGCUUCCCUUGGCUUCAAUCCGGGAGUGAGGAGCAGGCUGGAUCCUUGGAAGGGGAUGGCUUCAUGACUUUAAAAGGAUUUGUGACAAGCCAUGAGCCUUGAGAAAAUAAACCAUGAUGAAUUCCCAUCCGUAGAGACAGCUCUGAAGGUUUUCAAGAUCAGAAUGAAUAAAACACUGUGCAAUCUGGUCAGAUCUCCCAGGGAACCCGGCUCUGAGCAAGCAGGAAGAGGGAUAGACAUGAGCUCCAGUUUGGAUUGCUCUCAUCAGCGAGGAUCAUACAGAGAUUCCAAGCAGCCAUAGACUUGUUUGGGGCUGGAAGUUGCAUCAGGGCAGCAAGGGUGGAAAAGUUUUUGGAUUUGGACACAGUGCUGCCAUGGAGUGGCUACCUGGUUAUUGGAUUCUAGUCAUUCACUUUCUCAGAGUACUUCACACUUCAUGUUGAGGGCUGUACUCUUACAUCCUGGGUUGUAUAAGCCAUUACAUCCUUAUUGUUUAAGCCUUUGGAGCAGUUGAGACUAUUUCAGAGUCAUAAGAAGCUAUUAAGAUCGUUGCUGUUGUUUCUCACCAUAGAAUAAGAGAGUGACAGAAUGGCUUGGGUUGGAAGGAAGUUUGAAGAUCGUCUAGUUCCAGCUCCUUUUUGGAAACAGAAAGGCCUUGCCAUAAAUUUUAAGUCAUGCUGAUCAUCACAGAUGCCAGAGCUUCCCUGAUAUUACGGAAUCAUAGAAUCCUUAGGGUUGGAAGGGAUCUUUAAAGGUCAUCCAGUCCAACUCCCUUGCAGUGAACAAGGGCAUCCACAGUUAGAUCAGGUUGCCCAUGGCCUGAUCCAGCCUCACCUUGAACAACUCCAGGAAUGGGGGCAUCCACCACAUCUCAGGGCAACCUGUAUGGUGCUAAUUCCAUAAUCUGGAAGGGGUUUGUAUGUGUACAAACACAGCACACAGAUGACCUUUUAGUGUGAACUCUUACUAGCGCUCUCCAGACAAGAUGCCCGUCCUUCUGUCUCAACUUCCCCUCAUUUUCGAGUGUUUGAGAGAGGAAGAAGAUUGGCAUCUUUGCUUGCAUUAUGGCUGCUCCCAGCCAUGAAGAAUAAACCCAAGGCUUAUUCCAUUCCUGUAUUUUCUUAGAUUUGGGCAAGGGGCCUGCUUGUGCUCUGUGAGUACCUUCCCAUGGUGCAUGCGUGCUCAGCAUCACACAAUGUGCUUCUUGCAGGGAACACCCUGCCCGGAUCCAGUCCAUCUCUGGUCAAGGGAGGAUUAUUCCCAGCAGACCAUGCUUCAGUCCAUUUUUAAAUAUCUUAAAGAGCAGGGUUUCCACCACAGCCCCUGGGGAGGAUGUUCUACAGUCCAGUAGGUUAGAUCUCACUGUUAAGAAUGUUUCCCCUGAUAUUCAGUGUUCAUUUUCCAUUCCUUAAUCCCGU